CUGGAAUGCCAUAUCAGUCAUUUUUUAGAUUGAUCUGUCAUGUAUGUCACUUUUUAGUUUAUGAGUAUUUUAUUUGAUUGGUUUUGAUUCUAUUUUUGAGCAGUUUAUCCAAGGUUAAGUUAAUGUUCGAGCCUCAAAAGCUACCAAUAGAAGAAAAAAGAGUUCACAUAUCCCUUGCUUAGCUACAAGUAAUUGGUAACUUAUUGCAAGAGUGAUUGUUUAUACUUCGGUUACCAUGUCAUUCAAAAUAGUUUUACAAUUUUAAUUUCGGCUUUGGCUCAACAAUCAACAUGUAUAUGAUUUUGUUGUUGUGCUUGAUAUUCCACUUGAUUUUAGAAGAGCAAAUGUAAUUGAGUCAUAGUAACUUAUCAAUGAUGUGUUAUUAUGGUUGUGUUCACUUGAAUUUUAAUGGAUUACAUUUAGCCUUUUUUUUUUUGGGGUAUAUGUUGUCUACAAGAAAUUAUGUUUAGUAUGUGUAUCUAAUGCUAUAUUAUGGUUAUAUUUCUUUUAUUAGUUUCUUGGUUCUGUUCUAAGUUAGUUNNNNNNNNNNNNNNNNNNNNNNNNNNNNNNNNNNNNNNNNNNNNNNNNNNNNNNNNNAUUAGUUUACAUGAUUUAUGUUUGAAAUUACAUAGAAUUAUAUCCAUAUAUGUUUGAAAUUGCAUCUUAUUGUAAUUUUUCUGAUACUUUCAGCUUCGAACCCGAAUCUACAGUGAGGGGUGCUAUUACGAAAAUCUUCAAAGAAAAUUUUCAAGGUGCAUGGUCAUGUUGGAGUGCUGUUGAUUCGACCACACGAGAUUUUUGGUUUGAAGACUUUAAGGUCAUUUUAUUAAGUAAUUGAGGUGUGUUGGUUGUGUUUCAUUAUGGGAUCCAAUUGAUAAUCUUGUUUAUUUUUUCAUUGAGGAUUUCUUAUAUAUAUAUAUAUAGGCUAUGCUUGUCAUAUUACAGAUUGUGUUUAUAUGCUAUUAAAUUUAUCGUUGUUUCUAUUGGAGUGUAGAUUUGUAUAUAUGCUAUUAAAAUUGUAUACAGGCUAUGCUUAUCAUAUUACAGAUUGUGUUUGCAACUUUUACACUACUAUUUGUAUUGUUUGUUUGUAGGCCAAAUACAAAUGGCUUGAAAAGGAUGAAGCUAGCAUUGAAAAAGCUUUAAUAGUAGGGGAACAUUGGCCCUGAAAAUUGCUUUGUUCAAGGUUUGUAGUGGUAAAGAUAAAGGUGAAUGGAUUGAUGAAGAUAAGUUAAAAGAAUUAAGGGAUCAAUGGAACGGUGAAACUUGGCAAAUGGAUUGAUGGAUUGAUGGAUGAUGAAGAUGAUGUGUUGGAUGAUGAAGCUUAGCUUUAGUUACUUUCUUUUAUGUAUUUUUGUUAAAUCAAUUAUAUGAAUUUUUGUGUCUUUGACAAUUUUAGGUUUGAUAUUAUAUUUAGNNN
rnacentral:lncRNA from 1 species